rnacentral:rRNA from 1 species
UACGUAGGGUGCGAGCGUUGUCCGGAAUUACUGGGCGUAAAGCGUGCGCAGGCGGUUUUGUAAGCCAGAUGUGAAAUCCCCGGGCUUAACCUGGGAAUGGCAUUUGGGACUGCAAGGCUGGAGUUUGGCAGAGGAGACUGGAAUUCCUGGUGUAGCAGUGAAAUGCGUAGAUAUCAGGAGGAACACCGAUGGCGAAGGCAGGUCUCUGGGCUGAAACUGACGCUCAUGCACGAAAGCGUGGGGAGCAAACAGG